rnacentral:lncRNA from 10 species
GGGCUAUAACUGUCACCAUAGACUGAAGGCCCAAACUAAAGGGUAGCCACUGCCCAGGGCCAAGGAGGUAUGGCCACCACCCUAGUAGGUCUGCAGCACAGAGCUUGGAGUCAACAAGGAUUACUUAUAGGCCCUAAAUCUUAGUGGAAUUUACCCAACUAUAUUCUGGCCUUGUUUGGAAUCCAUGAUUCCCUUCUUCUUUCAGAUUCUCCUUUUUUUAAUGGAAAUGCCUAUCCUAUGUCCGAUCCACCAUUGUAUUUUGGAAGCAGAUUAUUUUUCUAGUUUCACAGGGUUACAGCUGGAGGGUAAUUUUACCUCAUGAUGAAUCACACCUCAAGUCUCACUCAUAUCUGAUUUCGAUGAUAUUUACGUAAGACUUAGAGCUUCUAGUUGACACUGGAAUGAGUUUAAGCUUUUUAAAAUGUUGGAAUAGAAUGAAUGUAUUGUGCAUAGGAGAAGAAUGUGAAUUUUGCAGGGCCAGAAGGUGGUCUUACGAGUGGAAUUGUCCUUCCCUAAAAUUUACUUGUUAAAGUCUUAACUCCCAGUACCUCAGAAUGUGACUGUUUGGAAAUAGGUUCUUUGCAGAUGUAAUUAGUAAAGAUAGGAUGAGGUCAUACUGGCUUAGGCUGGACUCCUAAUCCAAUAGAACCAAAAUCUUUACUAAAAGAGGAAAUUGGGACACAGACACGCACAUAGGGGGAACACUUUGUGAAGCCGAACCACAAAGAUUGCCAGCUCGUCACCAGAAGCUAGGAUAGAAGCAUGGAAGGGAUUCUUCCUCACACUGCCAGAAGUAACCAUCCCUGUUGGCACCUUGAUCUUGGUCUUCUAGUAUCUGAAUUAUGAGACAAUAAGUGACUGUUUUUUAACCUAACUAGCUUGUACUAUUUUGUUAUGGCAGCACUAGAAAAUUAAUACAGGUGACAACAAGAAAAGAAGCUUUUGAACACUGAAUUUCUGGGAAAACUUUGGAUAAUGGUAUGUGUGAUGGUUAACACUGUCAACUUGAUUGGAUAGAAGGAUGCAAAGUAUUGUUCCUGGGUGUGUCUGUGAGGGUAUUGCCAAAGGAGAUUAACAUUUGAGUCAGUGGACUGGGAGAGGCAGACCCACCCUCAACCUGGGUGGGCACCAUCUAAUCAGCUGCAAUCUCAGAUAGAAUACAGCAGACUGAAGAAUGUGGAAGGACUUGACUUCCUGAGUCUGCCAGCCUUCAUCUCCCUCUCGUGCUGGAUAGUUCCUGCCUGCGAACAUCAGACUCCCAAGUUCUUCAGCUUUAGGACUCCUGGACUUACGCAAGUGGUUUAACAGGGGCUCUUGGGUUUUUGGCCACAGACUGAAGGCUGCACUGUUGGCUUCCUUGCUUUUGAGGUCUUGAGACUCAGGCUGGCUUCCUGGCUCCUCAGCUUGCAGACAGCCUAUUGUGGGACUUCACCUUGUGAUCAUGUGAGUCAAUACUCCUAAUAAACUUCCUUUCAUAUAUACAUCUAACCUGUUAGUCCUGUCCCUCUAGAGAGCCCUAAUACAGUAUGUUAAAGAGGUAGCCAUUAAUGGCUUAUUUAGUGGCAGGAAGGGCUCCGCUAUGUUGACAUAAGAGGGGUUUAGUUCACAGAAAAGUUCUCAAAAAUAGAGCAUGUAAGAGGCACUUAUUUCUAUUAAUAAGACCUGAUCAUAAAUGAGAAAUAUUUAAAUAAGAACAGCUACUUUAUUACAAAUACAUAAUGUAUAAUAUUUGAAUUUUCAUGGACUGGUACAAUUUUCAAGCCAUUUCACAAAAAUGAAUCAGAAUAGCAUGGAUUGGUUUCUUGGUGUUUGCUGUGCACUGUCCUGGCUUGCCAUAUAAAUUAGAGUUUAACCUUCCCUCUUCUAUCUGAGUUUUGCAUAAGUCUCUUCAUUUUACAAUUUGAAAAACUAAUGCUUAUAGAGCUUAAACAACUAAAGUUUAAAAGGUCACAAGGCUCUCCAAUAUUUUGAACUCAAGUCUUCUGAUUCCGUGAUUCCUCUAGAGUAUUUCAUAUGUAACAGAGUGGGGAGGUAUAGGGGUAAGAACAUCUGUAGUAUGGCACAUGCUUCUCUCACUUGGGAAUCUGCAGACACUCACAAAUCAGUCUUAAAGCCGUGGUGUAGGGGCAACAUUGCAGUCAGGUAUGUAAUCUUGGGCAGCCAUUUAACAUCUCUAGACCUCAAUAGCAUCAUUUGCAAAAUAAAGAGUUCAGCGUAUGUGAGCUCCAAGGCUCUGUACAGCCUAUAAUUCAAUCAAUAACAUAGCUUCAGAGGAAAGGCUGUACAAAUUCACAUAAAAACUAGAUUUCUGUGUGCAGGGAGUCUGAUGAAUAGAGACAGGCUUCACUAAGAGUAUAAUUUACUGAUACCAAAUGCUAUAUUUUCGUGGUUUCUUCUACAAUGGAAUAAACAUGAUAAAUUUUUAGAAACUGAAUUAGAUUUUUUUAUAUUUAUUAUCCACAGAAACAAAUGGCUUGUUUAAAUCACUAAUGUAUUUUUGUGUGUUUAUCAAUCAAUAACUUUUAACAAAAAUGUUCUUUCUUCCUGUGAUAAAGGAAAAGCAGGGAAAACAGAAGAUGCAACCACAAUUUGAAUAAUCUUUCAAGGAAGACCUCUAAUAUGUCAUACUAGGAUUCUCUUUUCUGUCAGGGCUGCGUUUUUCACAAGUUAGAGUGGAUCUUAUAAUUUCUUUCUCUCUUUUUCUGAAGAAAUGGGAUCUCAUUCUGCCACCCAGUCUGGCUUGCAGUGAUGCAAUCAUAGCUCACUGCAGCCUCAAACUCAUGGGUUCAAGUGAUCCUCCUGCCUCAGCCUCCUGAGUAGCUGGGAUUAAAAGCACGUGUCACCACCCCCAGCUUGAUCCUAUAAUUUCUAUUUAGGAGAAAGCACUUAGAAUCAAAACUUAAGUAAGUGUUUAAAAAACAACUGUGAAUGCUUUUAAACAUGCUACAUAAAGGCCAUUCAUUUAGAAGCUCAUGGAUUUUUAUAAAAGUUUGAAGCAUGGUCUUAACUGCCACAGCUCCCACCAUCAGGUGUGCUGAGAUACCCGACCAAGAGGCUCAGGAGAAGCCAGAAUAGAUAUAUAUCAGGACUUAGCUAAGGGAACCUGAGCAAAAAAGGGGCUUUAUCAUGAAGGAUUAAUUCUCAAAGUAAACCUCCAACAUCCCAUGCCAUGGUCCAUGACUAUGGAAUCCAAUAGCAGAGCUGGUUGAGUCCAGCACUUGUGGGGCAUCUCAGAUCCAGGGUAGCAUCCCAGAGGGUUGUGUGCAGAGAUCUCAACAUAGGGGAUCUUCAAAAGGACAUCAGCCUGAGAAAGAGGGUAAAAACACUCUGCCUGACUGCUUUGCCCAGGGCCCCAGCAAGACAGGAUUUAGAGGUACACUGCUGUGGAGGGGUCGAUAAAUCAAAGAUUGCUAAAUUUUGCCAACAUACAGAAAUGAGUGAGGUUUUCUAGAGGGUCUGGCCACAAAGCAAGCAUGUCAAAUUUUGUGGUGACAGAUGCUGGGCUUUCAGGAGUUGAAGAUGGUGAAGCUUGUACUCUCACAGAAACCCAAGAGAGUGUGAACAUUAUUUGUUAUUUUCUAGGCUUUACCAUACAUGGAAAUAAGCCAUCAUCUAUGCACACAUAUUUCAGUAUCUGCUACCCCAUACCAUACCCAUACUUUUUCAUUACUGCGGGAAUAUGAAUUUUGUCUUGUAUCUCACUAUUCUUUGCUGUACUUGAUGAAUGAUAAAUUUGUCAAUAAAUACUUGUUGAGUAAAUUUAUGAA